rnacentral:rRNA from 1 species
UGGGCAACCUGCCCUCAGCUCUGGGAUAACUCCAAGAAAUUGGGGCUAAUACCGGAUGUGACCGCUGACCGCAUGGUCUGGUGGUGGAAAGAUUUAUCGGCUGGGGAUGGGCCCGCGGCCUAUCAGCUUGUUGGUGGGGUAGUGGCCUACCAAGGCGACGACGGGUAGCCGGCCUGAGAGGGUGACCGGCCACACUGGGACUGAGACACGGCCCAGACUCCUACGGGA